GGAUGAACGCUGGCGGCGUGCCUAAUACAUGCAAGUCGAGCGAACGGACGAGAAGCUUGCUUCUCUGAUGUUAGCGGCGGACGGGUGAGUAACACGUGGAUAACCUACCUAUAAGACUGGGAUAACUUCGGGAAACCGGAGCUAAUACCGGAUAAUAUUUUGAACCGCAUGGUUCAAAAGUGAAAGACGGUCUUGCUGUCACUUAUAGAUGGAUCCGCGCUGCAUUAGCUAGUUGGUAAGGUAACGGCUUACCAAGGCAACGAUGCAUAGCCGACCUGAGAGGAUGAUCGGCCACGCUGGAACUAGGACACGGUCCAGACUCCUACGGGAGGCAGCAGUAGGGAAUCUUCCGCAAUGAGCGAAAGCCUGACGGAGAAACGCCGCGUGAGUGAUGAAGGUCUUCGGAUCGUAAAACUCUGUUAUUAGGGAAGAACAUAUGUGUAAGUAACUGUGCACAUCUUGACGGUACCUAAUCAGAAAGCCACGGCUAACUACGUG
rnacentral:rRNA from 1 species